AUUGAACGCUGGCGGCAGGCCUAACACAUGCAAGUCGAGCGAGCGGCGGACGGGUGAGUACUGUCUGGGCAACUGCCUGAUGGAGGGGGAUAACUACUGGAAACGGUAGCUAAUACCGCAUACCAUCAGAUGUGCCCAGGUGGGAUUAGUUAGUUGGUGGGGUAACGGCCCACCUAGGCGACGAUCCCUAGCUGGACUGGGAGGAUGACCAACCACACUGAAACUAGGACAGUGACCAGACUCAUACGGUAGGCAGCAGUGGGGAAUAUUGCACAAGGGGCGCAAGCCUGAUGCAGCCAUGCCGCGUGUGUGAAGAAGGCCUUCAGGUUGUAAAGCACUUUCGGCGGGAAGGCGUUACCCGCAGAAGAAGCACCGGCUAACACCGUGCCAGCCGCCGCGGUAAUUC
rnacentral:rRNA from 1 species